rnacentral:rRNA from 1 species
GACGAACGCUGGCGGCGUGCUUAACACAUGCAAGUCGAACGGAAAGGCCCUGCUUUUGUGGGGUGCUCGAGUGGCGAACGGGUGAGUAACACGUGAGUAACCUGCCCUUGACUUUGGGAUAACUUCAGGAAACUGGGGCUAAUACCGGAUAGGAGCUCCUGCUGCAUGGUGGGGGUUGGAAAGUUUCGGCGGUUGGGGAUGGACUCGCGGCUUAUCAGCUUGUUGGUGGGGUAGUGGCUUACCAAGGCUUUGACGGGUAGCCGGCCUGAGAGGGUGACCGGCCACAUUGCGACUGAGAUACGGCCCAGACUCCUGCGGGAGGCAGCAGUGGGGAAUAUUGCACAAUGGGCGGAAGCCUGAUGCAGCAACGCCGCGUGCGGGAUGACGGCCUUCGGGUUGUAAACCGCUUUCGCCUGUGACGAAGCGUGAGUGACGGUAAUGGGUAAAGAAGCACCGGCUAACUACGUG